rnacentral:rRNA from 1 species
UCGUAUAAAGUUCUAAAUAGAAAAAUGAUUAUGACAAUUUUCUAUUUAUAAGUCUUGACCAAAUUACGUGCCAGCAGUCGCGGUAACACGUAGAAGACUAGUGUUAUUCAUCUUUAUUAGGUUUAAAGGGUACCUAGACGGAAAGUCAAGCCAUAAUAGGGACUAAUUUUCUAGAGUUUUAUAAAAGAAGGGGCGAAUUUCCGGAGGAAAGUUGAUAUUUUAUGAUACUGGAAGGACGGGUAACGGCGAAGGCAACCUUUUAUGUAAAAACUGACGUUGAGGGACGAAGCCUUGGGUAACGAGAAGGAUUAGAUACCCUAGUAGUCCUUGGAGAAAAUUAUGAAUGCCAUAUAUAAAUGAAAGUGAAAGCAUUCCACCUCAUGAGUAAAGCGGCAACGCCCAAAUUGAAAUCAUUAGACCGUUUCUGAAACCAGUAGUGAAGUAUGUUAUUUAAUUCGAUGAUCCGCGAAUAACCUUACCACACAAGUGCUGCACGGCUGUCUUCAGUUAAUGUCGUGAGAUUUUGGUUUGUUCCAUAAAUUAACGAAAACCC